UCCAGCUGCUGCUCCGACAGGCAGGCGUGCUCCUCCAGGAAGCGCUGCUUCAGCUUGCCCAGCUCCUGGCGCAGCAGGUCCUCGUAGGGCAGCUCCACCGAGGAGAACACCACGGCGCCGAACACCAGGUAGAGCAGGUUUUCAGAGGCGUCGUCUGGGGGGAACAACAGCAGAGCAGCACAUCUGCGUCACCAAAGUGUUCACGUUCUUGUUUCCAAAGCAAACGUCUGGACAGUUUGAGUUUUAGCUACCACUGUUUAUGUUCGUGUUUGAACUCAAAGCCCUUAACAUACCUGAUAAUUUAAUUACAGAAUUCAUUGAGAUAGAUGUGUAGAUAGGUGUCAUAAUGUUCAGUUUUCUGACUUCAAGUGAUCAUAUUUACCAUGACAAUAUUACACGUUAACGCAAUUGUGUCAUUCCAGUUUCCUUCUAAAGUAUGCUGUGUCUAUUUUCACAUUGUUUUGCUAGUUAAGCAGCAAGGCACUCACGGACUGAUUGUACUCAAUUAAGUGUUAUAUACUGUGUAACAGAAAGUCACAACAUGCUUCCACAAGGAGUGACUGAAAUUCUGAAGCAGGCUGUAACAAGAACAGUCUUUUUCAAGCAGAAGUUUCAUUCUGCUGUGAUCAUCCCUCUUAAUAAAACAUGAAUCCAGUUAAUAAAGCGUACCACAUUAUCACAUC